AAAAAAUUUUUGGUACUGGGGAUUGAACGUGUUUGCCAGGCAGGCGCUGUGCCACUGAGCCAAAUCCCCAGCCCAGGUAAUUUUGUUUUUUAAACUCCUGUUUUAAUUCUUACCAGAUUUAGACAACAAAAAGCAUACGGAGUUGAAGAUGGAUCAGUCUUUGCUACUCAUCCAUAAUGAACUCCAGGGAACAGACUUGACAGUCAACUGGAAAUCUGAGCGGUGUUACCAGGGAAAGAAACAACAGGCUAUAAUAAACAAAAGAAAUAUAAUCAAGGAAAAAUGCUUAGGAGUGGACAACAUCUAUUAAGCUUUUUCUUACCUAUCUUUUAAAAAAUCAAGAUCUUGGUGAUGAACAAAUUGAUAGACCCCAUUAUAUUUCUUUUAUCUAAUGCAUAAGCAUCUUGCUGGACCAGAAGAGGAAGGAGACACUUGGAUAAAGCAAACAUAGAAUGUUCCGGAAGGAAGAUUACACAGAGAUGUAAGGAGUGGGUAAAAUAAAAAAAAAAUGUUUACUUUGUUAGCAAAGGAUCAGUCUGCACCAAGAGCUGUGCCAAAAUGACCGACCCUGGCCUGGGUGACAAUCUGCCUUUUAUAAGAAUUCUACAGUCAUGACCUCAUUUUAGGUGAUGAGACAUUCUAGUUCCCACAGUUCCUAUCACAAUCAUGUCACAAGACAGUACAAUGUUAACCCACAUGUAGCAGUUUCUUUCAGGCUGUCUAUCAUUUAGUUAUUUCAGUCCACAGGGAUGGGGGUCAGAGUUAGGAAAGCAGGACUUUGCUUUCAUCUAUCACCUUUAUAGCCAUAUGAUUUACAGAAAGUUUUAUAACUCAGGGACUGUUAUCUUAACUUGAACAUUUGGUCUCAUCUUCGGAUGUGGCUUCGCACUUCAGGCAUCUGUUAAUUUUAAGCUGGGGCUAUGUACUUUUAAGCUUCAAUAGUGAAACCUUGGGUGUUUUUAUUGAACAAGCAAAGCAAACUAAAGCAAAGCAAAUUACAGAAGCAAAAGACAGUGG
rnacentral:lncRNA from 1 species